AGAAUAUUAGAGAGAGAGGGAGAGAGAUUCUAGGCUAAGAGAGCCAUGUUGAUCAAAAUCCGAGCCCCGAAUCCCGAAGCUCAUGAAGAGAAAAGCGUUGUGCGUCGCGUUGCCUUCAGUUUGAGCUAAAAAUCAGCCAAAAAGAGGAGUUCUGACGUGGUUGCUGCAUACUUAAGAUUACAAACUUGGACAGCAGAUCUUAGACGAAUAGGCGCGCUUCAAGGUACAGACACUCAGUCCGGUGAUCCUCCAGCGUAGGACUUCUGCUCAGCUGUUUGGAGAGCUCCAUUGUCCAGAGCCUAGAUAUUUUGGUACAGAUCUUCUGAUAUAGACUUAUAUAUAUUCAGGGGUACGGCCGGGCCCUGUCCCGUCAUAUUUCACUCUUAUAACUCUUAGAGGUCUGUAGACAUAUGUGGGUUGUGAGUAGGUUUUGGUCAGCCGUGUCAAUAUGGUUUGUUUUGGAUAUUCCCGUGUAUAGUGGCAGCUUUGUCGGCUUGCGUAUUGUGUUAUGCUUUGAUCAGCUAUGACUCCUCAGGAAACAGGUUUAUGAUGAUACGGCUGUUGACACCUAAUUUUAGCUCGACGUGCUUAAAAUUAACGUUUUGGGGGGCCCUGAUUCGUUAAAGAGCACGAAAUACAUUUUUACACAUUUUUACACUUUUUCAACAAUUUAUUGAUGAUUAUCAUUAUUUUAGAAAUUUUCUCAUUUUAUUGUCAUUUUUUCAAGAAUCAUUAUUUUGCACAUGUACAGCGUAAUAUUACCAUUUUUAUGCAAUUAAUAAUUGUUUCUUAAUUUUAUAUCAAUACAUUUUCAUAUCAUAGACAUUAAUAUUUAUAUUUUAUACUUGCGUUAUUAUUUAUACAUGUAUUAAUUAACUAUAUUUUAAUAUAGUCCGACAGUGCAGAGAAAAUCGGAGUAACUAAUUUUUUAACGCAGAGUAAAAUCUGAUCAAGUCAAGGUUCAUCACUUUAAAAAAAAAAAAAGGGAUUAAAGUAAGCAUUGAGGAGACAAAAGAGUGCAAUCUUCUAUUCUUUGGACAAAAUAAGGGGCCAUUUUGCAUUAUAAGAAAAGGAGGGGUAUUCAUGUUCUACAUAUAUUUACACAUACACACACAAGCACAAAAGAACCUGAGACUUUUUUUUCUCUCUCUAAAAAAAACCCUAAACAUUUUCCCCCCCAUUUCUCCCUAGCCGCCGCCACACCACGCCGGAGCUCGGAGCUCCGGCGCCCAACUACACCACCAGUUUCCUCCGUCCUCGCCAACCCAGUACCGCCAAUGACGCCACUGCCCCCAUUUCUCUCCUCCCCUCACACCUCUUUCCAGCCGCCUCUCCGCCACCUUCUCCGGCGAACUCACGUCGCCGGAGCAACCCAAAAUAGUCCCCCCCCCUUCUCGUCCUCAUCUCCUUCGCUGCUUCGGUGAACCCAAGCAGCCAACAACCAAAUCACUACCAACCAACAACGCCACCAAACUUCGACGAACCACCGCAAAGCCACCAGCUGCCCGUUCCUCCCUUUCCCGUCACUGCUCCGAUGAGCUAAGACCAGCGAACAUCUUCUCCCACCGCGUCAUCCCUCUCAGCCGCCGCCAGACCUUCCACGCCGGAUAUCCAAGCUCUGGUGAAACGCCGACGCGCUAAACUAACCCCUUUCGCUCCCCCCUUCAUCGACAUACACUCUCUGUUUUCCUAUGCUUUUCUGGUAAUUAAGUAGUGCCUCUCAAACUCUCUUUAUCUGUGCAUUCUAAUCCAUAUUUAUCCUUUUUGACUCUUUUCAAUUUUUGCUUGAAUAGAUGCAUUAAGUAUUUAACUUGGAAUUCUCUGUGUUCUAUUACUUUCCAUGGAAGUUAUUGGUCAAUAUUACGUAUUGGGUUUGUAUUAUUUUAGUGUUACGUGUUUUCUCUUUUGUUUCCUACUGUAAUUUGCUGUCGUAAUGUACAAAUCAAAUUUAGUCGGUUUUGUAUAUGAUAACAAGUCCCAUUUUGAUACCCAUCUCUAGCCGCCUUAUUUUCCGUUGUUCUUUCCAUUCUUACACGCGUGAAAGUUAAAUUCAAGAAUCAAGAAUCAAGAUCCAUCUAGAAACUUCAGAUUUUUUAUCCAUAAAAGCCCCUUCUUUUGCCCUUUGUGUAAUUUUUUUUUAUUUAAAAGAUCAGAUCUUUAGUACCAAUUGAAUUUUCUUUGAUUGAAUUUGACAGGCCAUAACUCUCCACAAACAAAGACACCAACAAUCAUUUAAAGUUUUUUAUGUUGCCUUAAUGAUGCGUUCGAGAUUUUGUCAUAUUUAUUCUUUCACAGUUUUUUUUUUUUUUUUUUUCAAACGAAAAUAAAAAAUAGCUAUUCCAGAUUGUACUCUCAUUUGUCCUACUUCACUUUAUUUACUCAUCCUUCAAUCUCAAAUAAUGGGAACUCCUCGAUGUCUUACUUCGGGGUACACCAUCUAGUGUUGGUCCAAUAUUUCAUAUGGUAUAUCUUUUAAUAUAAACAAUUAUUAGCUCAUAAACGAUCAAAUAUAGCAGGUGAUGUUAAGCUAUUAACAAAACCAUAGGGGAGAUGUAGCGAGAGUGUUGAAGACAUUUCAAAUGUCACACCUUUUACCGCCUUUACUAAAUUGAUUUGGGCGAAUACUAAACCCAAAUGGCCGAUGAAGAAAUUUCCGUCGAUUUCCAAGGCCUUCCAUGUACAAAGACGGAUUUUUAUUUUAAGUUUAUUCAUUAUUUUUUAAUUUAUUCGAUAAUUAUUUAUUCUCUUACUAACAUUUUUUAUUAAGUCUCAUGCAGGUAUCCGAAGUUAUUUUUUUGAAGGUGACACUCAAAAGAAGUUCAAAUAGCUUCUUAAAUUCUUUGUUUAUAUUUUUUGCAUUCUUAAAUUAUGCAAGCAUAAAAUAUAGUGAAACUUUACUUUUAGGGUGUAGGUUAGUGGUAUUUAUUUAUGAUCUGCUUAGGUGCUUUAAAUUUUAUGUGUUUUUAGACAAAUUAAUAUUAGGCAGUUAUUAUUUUUGUAACAUAAUAUUCUUAUAGUUAUCAUGUUUUGCUAGAGUUUUAAUUCAAUAGCUUAGCACACUUAAGUAAAUAAAUAGGGUGAUUUGCCUCAAUAUUUAGGCUUUAGAAUAUACUCUCAUAAUUAAUUGAUUAGGCGUACAUACUUAGUUAGUUAAAUUAGUUAACUCACUUCGAGUGCAAAAUAAUUUCAUGCCCAAGCUUCUAAGUUACACAUAACUUUUUUUAUAAUAAUUAUUAUAUCACAUAUGUAUAAAAUACGUAUUGCAUGAUUAUUUAUGUGAAUAUUCAUAUUAUUCUUUAGUCUAAAUUCUAUUAAUUUUUGUAAAUAAUAAAGUCUUUUUACACAUCCCUCGUAUAGUUAAAUUGGUCCAGCCGGGAACCACAUUUGUGGAUUCUGAAGGAUGCCUAACACCUUCCCUUCGGAAUAAUUUGAACCCUUACCUAGAAUCUCACUUAUUUUUGUAGACCAUGUUAAGCUGCAUAUAUUAAUAAUUUAUAGGUACCCUAGUAUACCUUAAAUGCUAGGUGGCGACUCUGUACAUAAUUAAUUAUUUCAGAUCUCCAUAAGUUGUGCUUUGUUUAGCCUUCGGUUAAAAUGAGGUGCAACAACGGCAUUGUGAAUCUUUAAUUGCUUUUACAAGUUUCCAUUCUGUCCUUAGUUUCAGUUUGACUAUAUCUAACAAGUUCGUAAACGAGUGUCCAGCUCGGGCACUAGUCAUGGCCCAUGGGGUUGGGUCGUGACAGCUGCAUCGAUUAAAGUGUUGGUUCAGUGGUAAAAUCUUGGACCAACUGAAGCUACGUGGGAGGAUUGAGGUUAUAUUAGAAGUCAAUUUCCUGAUUUUGCUGCUCAACACUGACCUUGAGGUCAAGGUCAAUUUGAUCGGAGGGGUAGUGUUAUGAUCGAAGAGGGAAAAGAGAAAUUGGGGGAGAAAUUAGGUUUGAAAUUGGGGAUCGAUUGAUUGAAGACUGAUUUAGAAAGAUGAGUUAUUUUAGUCAAUAGGCAAAGGGACAAGUGGCGAGCAGAAGUGGAGAGAUCAGAAGUGCGCAACUCACGUGCCACUUAAAAUACACGGUGGAGAUUAAAUAGAGAUAAAAGACAUCAGACGGUCCAGAUUAAUUGAGCAGUUACAAGUUGUUACAAAGAUAUAUUCUCACAGCUGGAGAAUGGGAUCAUUAUUGAGAAUCUGGUAUAUUCAACUUCCUAAUUCCUCUUCUCCUUCUAUUCUAACUUCUUCUUCUUCUUCUUCUUCUUCCUCCCCAUUCAUUCUUCUUUCUAUCACAGGUAUCCACCAUUGUUGACCACCAUUAUUGAAACUGCUCAAGCUUAUCUCAUUAUAAUAGCUAGAACUAUCUCACUGUAAUAUCUAGAACUGUACU